CGUGUAGGCGGUUUGUUAAGUCUGAUGUGAAAGCCCUGGGCUCAACCCAGGAAGUGCAUUGGAAACUGGCGGACUUGAAUACGGGAGAGGGCAGUGGAAUUCCUAGUGUAGGAGUGAAAUCCGUAGAUAUUAGGAGGAACACCGGUGGCGAAGGCGGCUGCCUGGACCGAUAUUGACGCUGAGACGCGAAAGCGUGGGUAGCAAACA
rnacentral:rRNA from 1 species